rnacentral:rRNA from 1 species
GGGUUGUGAGGUUAAGCGACUAAGCGUACACGGUGGAUGCCCUGGCAGUCAGAGGCGAUGAAGGACGUGCUAAUCUGCGAUAAGCGUCGGUAAGGUGAUAUGAACCGUUAUAACCGGCGAUUUCCGAAUGGGGAAACCCAGUGUGAUUCGUCACACUAUCAUUAACUGAAUCCAUAGGUUAAUGAGGCGAACCGGGGGAACUGAAACAUCUAAGUACCCCGAGGAAAAGAAAUCAACCGAGAUUCCCCCAGUAGCGGCGAGCGAACGGGGAGCAGCCCAGAGCCUGAAUCAGUGUGUGUGUUAGUGGAAGCGUCUGGAAAGGCGCGCGAUACAGGGUGACAGCCCCGUACACAAAAAUGCACAUAUUGUGAGCUCGAUGAGUAGGGCGGGACACGUGGUAUCCUGUCUGAAUAUGGGGGGACCAUCCUCCAAGGCUAAAUACUCCUGACUGACCGAUAGUGAACCAGUACCGUGAGGGAAAGGCGAAAAGAAC